rnacentral:lncRNA from 1 species
CUCUCCUAGCUCUAUGCUCCGAUCCCCCUCCUCGUUAAGAAGGUCCCGAAAGUACGCCUGCCACCUCUUUUUGAUUUGAGAUUCCCCCAUCAGAACUCUACCAUCCUCGCCCUUGAUACACCUAACUUGGUCUAGAUCACGUGCCUUCCUUUCUCUUGCUUUAGCUAAACUGAAUAACUUCUUAUCCCCGCCUCUCUCCCCUAGUUCCUCAUACAUGCGACCGAACGACGCAUUUUUAGCUUCCGUGACUGCCAUCUUUGCUUCUUUCCUCGCCUCAUUGUAGAUCACCAUGUUCGCUCUCCGUUCUUCUUCGCUUGUGCUCCCUGCCAACUUAGCAGACGCCACCUUCUUCACCUCCACUUUUCCUUCGACUACAUCGUUCCACCACCAAUCAC